UGGCAAAGCAAGUGUUGAAGGAAUGUCGCAAAUCAGAUCUCGGGACUGCUGACGGAUUUGCGGACUUCCUCAGAAGAAUUACCCAGCACCACAACAACUUGAUGGAUGCCUAUAAAAGGAAUGCUUCCUCUGACGUGGAAAGACCCAAGC